CCGGCGACCGGCGCACGGGCGAGUGACACGUAUGGAACCUGCCCGCAGCAGGGGGAUAAGCGGAAGAAAUUCCGUCUAAUACCGCGUAACAACGUUGGGAGGCAUCUCCCGAUGUUUAAAGAUUUAUCGGCUGCGGAUGGCCAUGCGGCGCAUUAGCUAGUCGGCGGGGUAACGGCCCACCGAGGCGACGAUGCGUAGGGGUUCUGAGAGGAAGGUCCCCCACACUGGUACUGAGACACGGACCAGACUCCUACGGAAGGCAGCAG
rnacentral:rRNA from 1 species